AUGUCGGACUUGUACAUUAACACAUUGCAUGGCGAUGAGAGGAGAAAGAAAAGGAAGAGGGCAGCUGCUGGAUUUUUUGUGUCGGUUGUCGCGAUAGUUCAACACACGUAUUGUCAGAGGAAGAUUAGAGAGCUUGAUGAUUUCAGUGAGGAUGAGGCGGAGAUUAGGAUUAGAAAGCAGAUGCUUAGAUCAAUUUAUCAGGGUUCUAACAAGCACUGUUUUGAUAGUUUGCGCCUAACUAAACGGUCCUUUGUGGACCUGUGCGCUAUCUUGCGUGAAAGAUGUGGUUUGGGGGACACAUUUUAUGUGUCGGUUGAAGAAUCAGUCACAAUGUUUCUGCUAGUGCUAAGCCAUGGGAUGAAAUACCGGUUAAUUGAAAGCACGUACAGAUGGGCACUCGAGACCAUCAGUAGGCAUUUCAAUGAGAUCUUAAGAGCUGUCCUUUCCUUGUCUCAUGAGUUUAUAAAGCUACCAACCCCUUCAGCUGAGCAGCCUGAGGAUAGUAGAUGGAAAUGGUUUCCAGAUGGGCUAGGAGCUUUAGAUGGCACACAUGUUGAUGUCCGUGUUUCCGCUCUCAAGCAAGGCAGAUACAGAAAUAGAAAGCAAGAUGUGACCACUAAUGUGCUUGGUGUUUGUGACCGGAAUAUGAAGUUUUUGUAUGUCUUAGCUGGAUGGGAAGGUUCUGCAUCUGAUUCACGAGUGUUGCGAGAUGCAAUGUCACAACAAGACGCUUUUAGAGUUCCACAUGGUAAUUCUCCGUCUUGGUACGGUAGAACAACUAAGUUAUGA
rnacentral:rRNA from 1 species